GAUGAACGCUGACAGAAUGCUUAACACAUGCAAGUCAACCUGAACUUCGGUUUGGGUGGUGGACGGGUGAGUACCGCGUACAGAACUUGCCUCACAGAAAGGGACACCAUUUGGAAACGAAUGCUAAUACCUGAUAUUAUGAAUAUAUGGCAUCGAAUAUUUAUGAAAGCUAUAUGCGCUGUGAGAGAGCUUUGCGUCCCAUUAGCUAGUUGGCGAGGUAACGGCUCACCAAGGCGAUGAUGGGUAGCCGGCCUGAGAGGGUGAUCGGCCACAAAGGAACAGAGACACGGGCCUUAGUCCUUCUUGAGGCAUCGGUGAGAGAUAGAGGACAAUGGACCAAGAGGCUGAUGAAGGUAUUCUGUGUGCACGAUGAAGUUUUUCGGAAAGUAAAGUGCUUUCAGUUGGGAAGAAAGUAAUGACGGUACCAACAGAAGAAGCGACGGCUAAAUACGUG
rnacentral:rRNA from 1 species